GACGAACGCUGGCGGCGCGCUUAACACAUGCAAGUCGAACGGAAAGGCCUGCUUUCCCUUGUGGAUUGCGGGUACUCGAGUGGCGAACGGGUGAGUAACACGUGAGUGAUCUGCCCCCAACUUGGGUAUAAGCCUGGGAAACUGGGUCUAAUUCCCGAUAGGACUGCAGGGUGGUGCCUGUGGUGGAAAACGAUUUUCUAGUGGUUGGGGAUGAGCUCGCGGCCUAUCAGCUUGUUGGUGGGGUAAUGGCCUCCAAGGCGGCGACGGGUAGCCGGCCUGAGAGGGUGGACGGCCACAUUGGGACUGAGAUACAGCCCAGACUCCUACGGGAGGCAGCAGUGGGGAAUAGUGCACAAUGGGCGGAAGCCUGAUGCAGCGACGCCGCGUGGGGGAUGACGGCCUUCGGGUUGUAAACUCCUUUCGACCGCGAGGAAGCCACCUGGUUGGAAGGGUGGUGACGGUAGUGGUAGAAGAAGCACCGGCUAACUACGUG
rnacentral:rRNA from 1 species